UGGUGGAGUGAUUUGUCUGCUUAAUUGCGAUAACGAACGAGACCUUAACCUGCUAAAUAGCCCGAAUUGCUUAGGCAGUCCGCUGGCUUCUUAGAGGGACUAUCGGCUCAAGCCGAUGGAAGUUUGAGGCAAUAACA
rnacentral:rRNA from 1 species